rnacentral:rRNA from 1 species
UACGUAGGGGGCAAGCGUUGUCCGGAUUCAUUGGGCGUAAGGCGCGUGUAGGCGGCCAGGCAGGUCCGCUGUGAAAACUCGGGGCUCAACCCCCGAGACGUCGGUGGAAACCGCCUGGCUAGAGUCCGGAAGAGGAGAGUGGAAUUCCCGGUGUAGCGGUGAAAUGCGCAGAUAUCGGGAAGAACACCCGUGGCGAAGGCGGCUCUCUGGGACGGUACUGACGCUGAGACGCGAAAGCGUGGGGAGCGAACAGG